CUGCGUGAAGCUGGAAUCGCUAGUAAUCGCGGAUCAGCAUGCCGCGGUGAAUACGUUCCCGGGCCUUGUACACACCGCCCGUCACACCACGAGAGUUUGUAACACCCGAAGUCGGUGAGGUAACCUUUUGGAGCCAGCCGCCGAAGGUGGGACAGAUGAUUGGGGUGAAGUCGUAACAAGGUAGCCGUAUCGGAAGGUGCGGCUGGAUCACCUCCUUUCUAAGGA
rnacentral:rRNA from 1 species